rnacentral:rRNA from 1 species
GAUGAACGCUGGCGGCGUGCCUAAUACAUGCAAGUCGAGCGAACAGACGAGGAGCUUGCUCCUCUGACGUUAGCGGCGGACGGGUGAGUAACACGUGGAUAACCUACCUAUAAGACUGGGAUAACUUCGGGAAACCGGAGCUAAUACCGGAUAAUAUAUUGAACCGCAUGGUUCAAUAGUGAAAGACGGUUUUGCUGUCACUUAUAGAUGGAUCCGCGCCGCAUUAGCUAGUUGGUACGGUAACGGCUUACCAAGGCGACGAUGCGUAGCCGACCUGAGAGGGUGAACGGCCACACUGGAACUGAGACACGGUCCCGACUCCUACGGGAGGACGCAGUAGGGAAUCUUCCGCAAUGGGCGAAAGCCUGACGGAGCAACGCCGCGGGAGUGAUGAAGGUCUUAGGAUCGUAAAACUCUGUUAUUAGGGAAGAACAAAUGUGUAAGUAACUAUGAACGUAUUGACGGUACCUAAUCAGAAAGCCACGGCUAACUACGUG